AAAUUGAAGAGUUUGAUCAUGGCUCAGAUUGAACGCUGGCGGCAGGCCUAACACAUGCAAGUCGAGCGGUAGCACAGAGAGCUUGCUCUCGGGUGACGAGCGGCGGACGGGUGAGUAAUGUCUGGGAAACUGCCUGAUGGAGGGGGAUAACUACUGGAAACGGUAGCUAAUACCGCAUAAUGUCGCAAGACCAAAGUGGGGGACCUUCGGGCCUCAUGCCAUCAGAUGUGCCCAGAUGGGAUUAGCUAGUAGGUGGGGUAACGGCUCACCUAGGCGACGAUCCCUAGCUGGUCUGAGAGGAUGACCAGCCACACUGGAACUGAGACACGGUCCAGACUCCUACGGGAGGCAGCAGUGGGGAAUAUUGCACAAUGGGCGCAAGCCUGAUGCAGCCAUGCCGCGUGUGUGAAGAAGGCCUUCGGGUUGUAAAGCACUUUCAGCGGGGAGGAAGGCGGUGAGGUUAAUAACCUCAUCGAUUGACGUUACCCGCAGAAGAAGCACCGGCUAACU
rnacentral:rRNA from 1 species